GAUGAAGAACGCAGCGAAAUGCGAUAAGUAAUGUGAAUUGCAGAAUUCAGUGAAUCAUCGAAUCUUUGAACGCACAUUGCGCCCCCUGGUAUUCCGGGGGGCAUGCCUGUUCGAGCGUCAUUUCACCACUCAAGCCUCGCUUGGUAUUGGGCAACGCGGUCCGCCGCGUGCCUCAAAUCGUCCGGCUGGGUCUUCUGUCCCCUAAGCGUUGUGGAAACUAUUCGCUAAAGGGUGUUCGGGAGGCUACGCCGUAAAACAACCCCAUUUCUAAGGUUGACCUCGGAUCAGGUAGGGAUACCCGCUGAACUUAAGCAUAUCAAUAAGCGGGAGGA
rnacentral:misc_RNA from 1 species